AUGGGUGUCCAGGAUCGGAGGAGGGAGACAGACACGGAGAGGUCAUUGGUUGGAGUUUUCCAGGAGCAUGGCCAAUUAGAGAGCGAAGAGAGGAACCCAGGGCCCAAUGGGCAGCGCCUCCGGGGGCGGGAGCAGAGAGACAAGGAAAUGCUGUCACCGCCGUUAACACGCACGUGGAGGUUUGUUAAAGGGAGAACUGAUUUAAGUCCUGUCUCCCAACAGUCUGAAGAUGAAGAAAAGAUGACUGAGACUGCCGAGGAUGUGCAUACCACACUUGAGCAGCUGGCUCUUGAAACACUCCUCUACAUCUCAAAACAAUGUCUGUUCAUCUGAGAAGAUUUCCAGUUAGACAUUGACUGAAGAAAGAAAUAUUUCACUUUCAAUCACAUGGCCCUGCUUGCUGUCUCUUAUUCCUUAUUCACUCUCUCGGAGGUCACUUUGUGAUUCUACCAAAUCCCACAGGAAAGGUAACAAGCCCAAAGAAAAGGCCCUAGAAAGAUCACUUUUGGAAAUGUGCAAACCAGUAACUGCUGGCUCUUCCAGAGCAACAUUCACCCUGUGGCUACAAUGAAAGACCACCUAACAGUCUAAUUUACCAAGUAGGGGCAAAUCGGCAUCUCAGAGCACUUAGCAUCAAAUAACAGUCACACUGCAUUGCAGUGUGGAAGCUUCUGGCUAGAUACAGCAAGCAAUUCUGAAACGAAAUGUAGCUAAGGGAAAGAGUUACCCAAUGAAGGAUUCCAGUGGCUGGGCCUCCAAGCAUGCUUGUCCUGUGAUGCACACAGCCUUGACAUCCCAGCACUGCUUGGAGCUCUCUCAGGCACACUGAGCAACUCCCAAACCAAGAGCUCUGCCUGUUCAUAUCCCCUUGCUCUGGAACAGAGCUCAUCUCCCAAAAGCACACCUGCCAGAAGUCCAUUCUAAUGAAAAGCACAGUGAUCUCCAUGCCAUUGGCAGCCUCAGGGAAUCAAGAAGACAGGUAGUGGAAGCCAGACUUCCCCCAGGCUGCUAGUGCUGACUCUGAGCUUGCUCCAGGGCUCUUUUAGCCUCGUCCCAGGAGGCAGUAGAAAACUCAGUUUUCCAUUUCAAAGUCUGUCAACUGGAACAAAUCCACCCACAGCACCUGGGAGCAUCUCCUCUUAAGCAAUCUCCAAUUCCUUUCCUAUUUAAUCUGACAAUGCCCUUGAGUCAGAAAUGUCCCAUGGUUUUGCCUCUUUGCUCUUCUUUCCACCUGGUUCAAAAGAUUACUGAUGGAAAAGUGAGACCCCCUUCCACCCUAAAGUCCUAAAAGAAAGCUUCCCGCCAAAAAGAUCUACUGGCAAUGGAGAAAGAGCAUCCAAAGAGACAGACUUUCAAAUACAUUUCAAAAACAAAAUUAAAGUGCUGGAUUUAUGAAGGAGAAAUAAAAAGAAAGCUCCCCACCACCACCACCACCACAGGUCAUGAUUAAGUAUUCAAAGAGGGCAAAGUAAAACAAGUACAUUUCAUAAUGAUGUCCAUUUCUCAGCCUAGAAAUUACUGGUCUGGAACCAAUGCACAUGCCUGUAAUCUCAGCAACUUGGAAAGCUGAGGUGGAAGGAUCACAAGUUUGAGGCCAGCCUCAGCAACAAAGAGAAACCUGUCUCAAAAAAAAAAAAAAAAACAGCUGGAGAUCUAGCUAAGUGGAACACCACUGGAUUCAAUCCCCAAUACCUAAGAAAGAAAUAAAGGAAGGAGGGAAGGAAGGAAGGAGAAAAGAAAGGGAGGGAAAAUACUGGAAAUUACCCAUAAGGUAAGCAUUCCUGGUUUAGAACAUACUGGGGAGAAAUUCAUAGAUUUGUUAAACUGCCCAAAGGGAUACUCCAGACAUACUACCCCAAAUCUCAAGAAGCAUAUAACCUUCUGCCACCCACAAGGUUUAAAAUUGGACCAUGUAAUCCCAUAUAAACUAGAGCUGUUCAUACUACUUCAUCCCUAAACUUCCUAAUACUCCACACAAUCUUUAUUGACUUAUUGGUACUGGGGAUUGAAUCCAGGGGUGCUUUACCAAUAAGCUACAACCCCAGCACUUUCUAUUUUUCAUUUUGACACAGGGCCUCCCUAAGUUCCUUAGGGCCUUGCUAAAUUGCUGAGGCUGGCUUUGAACUUUGCGCUCCUCCUUUGCUGGGAUUAUCCACAUAUGCCACCAUGCCUGGCCUCCACACAACCUUUAAAGCAAUGUCUCUCUGCUUCCUUCAAUGUGUGGCUACUGCUCACUUGAUCCAAAAUAAUUCCUUAAUUUUUCAAUGUUUGCAAGCAGGGCUUCCAAUCUGUGUGUAUACAGAGAAAAGAGAAGGGAAAAAAUAACUCUCAGAACAUGCCACACUUCAAUCAUAAAAAUGGGAGUGGGCAAGGUCUACUUAUCAAACGAAAGCCAAUAUGAAGGUCUACUGGCUGACUACAAUAAGUUUAACAAGUCAUCAUAAGGGCACUAGUUGGGCAAUAAUUGCUCAAAGUAAGCUUGGGAAUUGCCACAUACCUAUAACAAAGGACUGUUCGCCUGGCUCAAGGAACCCUGCAACUUCUCCAAAAGACAACAGAAAAAUUAAGAAAUUUAAAGUCAAGAUAUCGAAAUGAACAAGCCUACCUACUGGAAUGCCUUUACCCAGAUAUUUGCCAAAAUACGCUCAUAGCUUCUUUCCUCCUCUUUGACAGGCCUCCAGAGGGUGAAUUCUGAGAGGGAAAGUGGCCAGUCUACGUGCUGUCCACAAAGAUGCCAAACUUUUCAUCCAGGAGCCAAUUCUCUCUGCUGGGCAGCCAGGGAAUAUCCAAUUAUCAAUGUACUAUUUGUGGGUUUCCUUGUCGGAAUCUGUGUCUUUAGGAGCCUAGUUCAGGAGGCUCAUCAUUAUCUAGGACCAGCUUUCUUUUCCUUAUUGUGAAUGCUUUUAACCAAAGAGUUUAAGCCUCUGUACAAUCAAGUGGUACUAGAAUUAGAAAACUCACCAAUGGCCCUAGCCAAUGAGGAUCCAUUUCCAACUGGUAUUAAAGCCACUGAACACUGAUAUCAUCAGCCCAAUAGAUAGGUUGUCUGACAGAUUUGCCCUCUUCAUCAUACACAGGAAUUUAAAAUAAAGUAAGACACUGAGUUAUAUUCAUUAUUGCAAACAAUGGAUUUCUUUGUGUUAGUAAUCUAAAUUACUGCUGUGGUCUGGGUUCCACCAUGAUUCUUUCUGUGGCCUCUGUGAGCUGGCCAACACUGUAAACUUUCUAGUCCUAAAAAUCUUUUCCAAAAUACCAACUCAACACUUAGCCCUCCUCUAUGAUACUGACUGCCUCCUAAGAUACAGCAUAAAACAAGUUUUAGACGGUGUGUGCAUGUGCAUCCUUAAGCAGUCAGUGGCCUUCUACCUGCAAUGAUCUGUAUAAGUGUGACCUUGGGCCAUACUCACAGUGGAGUCCUGGUCCAUUCCUUUUUCCAGGAAGCAAUAGUGAGUGAAUAACCUCAGAAGGACAAGAAAAGCCACACUAAGUCUCCAUGGGUCAAGUUAACUAACAAACAUGACAAGAUACUGGAAUCAAAACCAAGGAAUGCAGUGAGGACAGGUUUCUCAGUUGCUUAGAAGACACACUUCCUUUUGAACUAAAAUUAGAAAGCCACUUU
ensembl:lincRNA